AGUCGAACGAGAAAGGGGAGCAAUCCCUGAGUAAAGUGGCGCACGGGUGAGUAACACGUGACUAACCUACCCUGGAGUGGGGGAUAACUGAGGGAAACCUUAGCUAAUACCGCAUAAUACCUACGGGUCAAAGGAGCAAUUCGCUUCAGGAGGGGGUCGCGGCCGAUUAGUUAGUUGGCGGGGUAAUGGCCCACCAAGACGAUGAUCGGUAUCCGGCCUGAGAGGGCGCACGGACACACUGGAACUGAAACACGGUCCAGACUCCUACGGGAGGCAGCAGUGGGGAAUUUUGCGCAAUGGGGGAAACCCUGACGCAGCAACGCCGCGUGGAGGAUGAAGUACUUCGGUACGUAAACUCCUUUCGAUCGGGACGAUUAUGACGGUACCGGAAGAAGAAGCCCCGGCUAACUUCGUGCCAGCAGCCGCGGUAAUACGAGGGGGGCAAGCGUUGUUCGGAAUUAUUGGGCGUAAAGGGUGCGUAGGCGGUUUGGUAAGUCUUGUGUGAAAUCUAUGGGCUCAACUCAUAGACUGCACGAGAAACUGCCGGGCUUGAGUAUGGGAGAGGUGAGUGGAAUUCCUGGUGUAGCGGUGAAAUGCGUAGAUAUCAGGAGGAACACCUGUGGCGAAAGCGGCUCACUGGACCAUAACUGACGCUGAUGCACGAAAGCUAGGGGAGCAAACAGGAUUAGAUACCCUG
rnacentral:rRNA from 1 species